UCCGAGUUGACCCCGGCAGUCUCCUAUGAGUCCCCACCAUCACGUGCUGGCAACAUAGAACGAGGGUUGCGCUCGUUGCGGGACUUAACCCAACACCUCACGGCACGAGCUGACGACAACCAUGCAGCAUCUGUGACAGUGCCCCGAAGGGAAACCGACUUUCAUCGGCGGUCACUGCCAUGUCAAGCCCUGGUAAGGUUCUUCGCGUAGCAUCGAAUUAAACCGCACGCUCCGCUGCUUGUGCGGGCCCCCGUCAAUUCCUUUGAGUUUUAGCCUUGCGGCCGUACUCCCCAGGCGGGGCACUUAACGCGUUGGCUACGGCACCGCGGGGGUCAAAACCCGCGACACCUAGUGCCCAUCGUUUACAGCGUGGACUAC
rnacentral:misc_RNA from 1 species